AAAUGAAUAGACGGGGACCCGCACAAGCAGUGGAGUAUGUGGUUUAAUUCGAGGCAACGCGAAGAACCUUACCAAGGCUUGACAUCCCGUGACGGAUGUGGAAACACAUUUUCUCCUUCGGGAGCACGGAGACAGGUGGUGCAUGGUUGUCGUCAGCUCGUGUCGUGAGAUGUUGGGUUAAGUCCCGCAACGAGCGCAACCCCUGCUGUCAGUUGCCAUCAUUAAGUUGGGCACUCUGGCGGGACUGCCGGUGACAAAUCGGAGGAAGGUGGGGACGACGUCAAAUCAUCAUGCCCCUUAUGUCUUGGGCUACACACGUACUACAAUGGUCGUUACAGAGGGCAGCGAAGUCGCGAGGCGGAGCGAAUCCCCAAAGGCGGCCCCAGUUCGGAUUGCAGGCUGCAACUCGCCUGCAUGAAGUCGGAAUUGCUAGUAAUUGCAGGUCAGCAUACUGCAGUGAAUACGUUCCCGGGUCUUGUACACACCGCCCGU
rnacentral:rRNA from 1 species